AUAAAUCUACACAAAAUGUACAGUAUUGCUCAUAAAAAUAGCAGUGUAAGAGUACCAUGCAUUGCAGGCCUGUUGGGUCUGUUGGCUUUCUAUACCUUUACUAUGGCCUCCCGAAACGUCCUUGUAAUUUUAUUGAGCACUACUGGAUAUAUCUUGUUUCAAAUACCAAAAAAAAAUCGUCUGAAUUGCAUGUUGUCAAUCAGGGAUGGAUAUUAGUCAUCUUUUUGUUGUGUGUGCGCAGCCAGGCACGCCUUACUGCUGGAUAGGAGCUGUCUUAAGUUGCUAGAGCUGAGGAGACAGCCGGGCACUCCUUGCUGCUGGAUGGGAACCGUCUACAUUUGCUAGAGUGUUCCUCUGGCUGCAGUCUUCUCUCAUAAGACUGAGGGGGAUGAUGAUCCCUGCCCUGACUCUCCACACAGCCAGGGAGAGCGCGAGUAACGUGUGCACACACACGAGCACGCACACACACACACACACACACACACACACACACACACACACACACACACACACACACACACACACACACACACACACACUACUGGAUGUCUUUCUGGAUGUCAGUGUUGUUUUA